CGAACCCAUCUGGAUCUUCCUCGAGCAGUACCGCAGUGGCAUGCAGCACUCGCAAGCGCUGCCUAGCCCGGCCCAGUGUACCCUUUGUUCCCGUUUCAACGGCAAGCUAACGCAAAGCGAUCGAGCGAUCCGAUCGUCCUCGCGAUUCCGUGUCUACCUUCUUCGUCUCUCCGUUUGUGUUUGUGUCGGUGGUUCCCAUGGGAUCGAAGUGGGCUCUGAUCCGGCCCUUCUUCCUUAUCCUCCUCCUCCACUCCGUGGCCAUCUAUCUCUUCACCCGCGGCUUCCUCCUCACCCGCACCGAGCUCUCCGCGUACAGCCGCUGCUCCGACCUCUCCCACUCCCCUUGCUCUGCACUUCACAACUCCUCCUCCCACGACGACCGCCGCUGCUGGACGAAGCCCGCCGUCGAUCGCCUCGUCAUCAUCAUCCUCGACGCCCUCAGGUUUGAUUUUCUUGCGCCCAGUUCAUUCUUUGCAGAGGCAAAGCCGUGGAUGGACAAGUUACGGGUGCUGCAGAAGCUCGCCUCUGGAGAAGGAUCAUCUGCUAGGAUUUUUAAGGCCAUCGCAGACCCACCAACAACUAGCAUGCAGCGGUUGAAGGGUCUAACAACGGGUGGACUUCCUACAUUUAUUGAUGUUGGUAAUAGUUUUGGAGCUCCAGCAAUUGUUGAAGAUAAUUUAAUAUGUCAGUUGAAUAAAAAUGGAAAGAGAGUGCUGAUGAUGGGGGACGAUACGUGGUUGCAAUUAUUUCCUGAUCAUUUUAACAAGUCAUAUCCUUACCCUUCUUUUGAUGUUAAAGAUCUUGAUACAGUAGAUAAUGGUGUCAUGGAACAUUUGCUGCCAUCACUAUAUAAAGAUGACUGGGAUGUUCUUAUUGCACAUUUUCUUGGUGUGGAUCAUGCAGGGCACAUAUUUGGUGUUGAUUCUACUCCAAUGAUACAAAAGUUGGAGCAAUAUAAUAGUAUCUUGGAGAAAGUUGUUGAUGUGCUGAAGAGCCAGUCUGGACCUGGUGGUCCUCAUGAGAACACUUUUCUUGUUGUGAUGGGGGAUCAUGGCCAAACCUUAAAUGGCGAUCAUGGUGGAGGCACUCCUGAGGAGGUUGAAACAUCGCUAUUUGCGAUGAGUUUGAGAAGCCCUCCAGCUUCUAUUUCGUCCAUUCUUGAAUUGAAUUCCUGCAAACUUGAUUUGGAUGGAGAAAAGAUAUGCAUUGGCACCAUCCAACAGCUUGAUUUUGCAGCAACUGUGGCAGCACUUCUUGGUAUUCCUACUCCUUUUGGAAGCAUCGGGCAUGUAAAUCCUGAAUUAUAUGCUUUAAGUGCUUCUACAUGGGAUGGGCAAAAGAUGGGUACUAAUAAUUGCAAAUCUUGGUCAAAUUUGGAAGCUUGGAUGCAAAAUUAUGCCAACACUCUCUGCAUAAAUUGCUGGCAGGUGAAAAGAUACAUUGAUCUCUAUUCUGCAACAUCAGUUAUUGGAUUACCUUCAGAAGACUUGCACCAUGUAGCAGAAUUAUAUGCACAAGCACAGACAAGCUCGUCAAAUACCAAAAAGUCCACUUGCUUAUCUGAAAAUGGCAUCUCUAAUGAAACUCAAGAUAGUUCAGCAUCCGUUCUUCAGUUGCAAAUCGAUGCAUAUUCUAAUUUCUUAGAGAAUGUUGCCAAGCUUGCUCGCUCAGCAUGGACUGAAUUUGACUUAAUAUUGAUGGCCAUUGGUAUCUGCUUUAUGCUAGUAUCCCUUUCCAUACAUCUUUUUGCUAUUGGAAGGGUAAAUAUUGUAUGUGGGUCAUUUUAUGCUGUAUCAGGCAUUUGUGCCUAUCCUUUUAGUCUCUUUACUGCUUUUCUUUUGGUCGUAAUACGUGCAGCCAGUUUCUUAUCGAACAGUUACAUAUUAAUGGAAGGAAGAGUGGCAAACUUUCUUCUGGCUACAACUGGUAUUCUCAACUUACGAUAUUCAGUCAGGAAUGGGAAGUUUUCAAAAGACGAGUUUGUCUUUCUUCUUAUAAAUAUUAUUAUUAGAUUUGGCAUUGGAUUUGGGAUGUCAAAGCAGACAGUUGGUUCAACGUCUUUGAAUGCACAGUAUUUGAAUAUACUCGGUAUCUAUGAGGGUCACCCUCUUUGGAUGAUGCUGUUGGAGAUAUUACCAGUGAUUAUGUUAUCCUUAUUGGCUAUCUUUCUAUAUAAGUGCACUUUAGGGAUAUCUUGUUGGGGAUACUUGAAAUAUCUUCUUAUAAUGGGUUCCAGUUUUAGCUAUAUGCUCAUCUCAGUCCAUUGGGUGUCAGAAAGCAAAUUAAUUGCUAUGUCCACGGUGAUUCAAGAUAUUGGAAGGAAUUUGGCACCCCGAAUAGUUUUUGCUGUUGGAUUAGGGCUCCUAGUAUCAUCAUUGCUUUCUCGGAUUCUUGGCCUGAAAGAUAGGGAUUUAAAUCCAAUUGCAAGUUUAACCAUUUCAACUGUUUCUAUGCUUUCUUCAUGGAGCCCAACCAUCUUGAUUCUACUUGGAAGGCAAGGUCCAUUUGUUGGUUUGAUUUGCAUAAUUGGAGCAUGGUGUAUUGUAAGGGCAGAGAAGGAACAACAGAUAAAAUCCAAAAGUGGGACUUUGGGAGGGUUUGCCAUUAGUCCUGUUCAUGUAACACAAUGGAACCUCCUAGCAGUCUGUCUAUUUUUUUAUACUGGUCAUUGGUAAGGUGUACUUUUGAUGGCCUUCGGUAUAGCGCAGCAUUUAUUGGUGUACACCUUUUUCUGGAUGCUGAAGUUGUCCAUCGACUUCGAUGAUCAGUUUCAUUACUGUCUUCUUAUUCAGGUUUGAUCAUUUCAAUAUCAUUCGCCAAGGUAUUCUACUGGCAAUUGAUACUUUCGGUGUCUCUCACAUUGUUCCCAUUCUUAGCCUUCCAUUUCUUGUCAUGCUCCAUCCUCAGAACUCUGAGGAAAACAAGGCAAAGGGUAUCAUUUUUGUUAAAUUAACUCAGGUAAUGACCUAUCGAUCUUGAAUAUUAUUUAAUUUGCCUUCUUUCAAGAUAUUUGUCUAUUUCACCUCUUCUUAGUCUCAUUGCUUCGAUAAACAUUCUUGUCGUCAUAUAUGUGUAAAGAAAUACCUGUUCUUCUUUACAUUUUAACGGUUUGGAUGAGAGAGAGAGAGCAUCUGGACAAUUGGCUGUCAGAAGUGUAUACCAUAGGCUGUUAAUGAAUGCGCAGAUAUUUUAAUUUAUCAGUUGAUGGCAUACAGUAAUGACCUUCUGUUAUGACCACAUAUCUGCUUGAGCUCUGAGCCAUGCUUUGUAAAGUACAAUUACUUAGAUUUCUUCACAUUAUUUCUUGCUCUUGUUGUCAUCAUCUCCUAUCAAUUGGAAGAUCCUGACAGCCAAAAGAAUUUUGUAUCUUUCUGCCUCACUCAUAAUGGAUGAUCAGGUGCUUUUUUUUCAAAAUAAAUGGAAUUAAUUCAAUUUCAGUUCAAAUUGUCAAUAAAAAGUACACUGUAUAAGUAGUAAAAUAACUCUCCCUCAAUUGCUCAUUCUUGUAAAUUAUAUGAGUUGAUAUGAUGUUUUGUUUACAUGUUUUUUAAUUCUGUCAUUUCAGGUAUUCUUAAUUUAUGGGCUUAUAACAUCAGUGACAACUAUGUUCGCGAUUAUAUGUGUUACAAUUCACAGACGACAUUUGAUGGUAUGGGGAUUAUUUGCGCCAAAAUAUGUUUUCGAAGCGAUGGGCCUUCUUCUAACAGAUGUCGUAAUUUGCUUGGCAUCUCUCUACUAUUAUUGACAAGGCAGCAACCUGUGUCGAGAAAGCUGCCAAAAGUCAGGAGCUAAUUCAUUCAAAUUCUGGUAAUAGUGGUUGUCGCUGAUAGCGAAAUGCAUUUACUGAAAAUUUAAGGUUAUCAUGGUUGAUCCGAAAAAUCAAAUCCAGCUGACAUCCAUAGACUUGGAAUGAAUGCAGGCAUCUUCUUUGACAAGUUUCUAAAUGGAUCAUUAUUUUCUGAUAAAUACAAAGUGCAUAUUCACCAUGAAGGCUCCAGAAAGUUGAAUUACUGUUUUGAGUCUAUUCCAAGCUUUGUUGAAGCGUCUUACAUUUUGUUGAUUUUGUUCUUGAAUAUUUGUUAUCAAAUUGUCAUACGAAGCAUUAGAUGGUUGGGUGGAUUGCUCCUUCUCAAACAGCGGACCUGAGCUCAAGUGUUGUCAUUAGCACCGAGGCUUUCUUAAAUUUUCCAUCGAGGAAACAAUUUUUUGGAGUUCUUUUACAGCAAUCGAUGGUAAGCUUGUCGUUGCCAUGGAAAUCCUCUUUCUCAUCACCCUCACUUGUCAUUAUGUUCAACUCUGUAACAAAGAUACGGCUAGACAAAAUCAUUUGAAUCUAUGCAAAAACUCCAUCAGGAUCCCUCAUUUUCCUUUUUUCCUC